AGAGAUCUGGAGGAAUACCGGUGGCGAAGGCGGCCCCCUGGACGAAGACUGACGCUCAGGUGCGAAAGCGUGGGGAGCAAACAGGAUUAGAUACCCUGGUAGUCCACGCCGUAAACGAUGUCGACUUGGAGGUUGUGCCCUUGAGGCGUGGCUUCCGGAGCUAACGCGUUAAGUCGACCGCCUGGGGAGUACGGCCGCAAGGUUAAAACUCAAAUGAAUUGACGGGGGCCCGCACAAGCGGUGGAGCAUGUGGUUUAAUUCGAUGCAACGCGAAG
rnacentral:rRNA from 1 species